GACAUAAUGUUCUGUCAUAUUUUCUCUGUCUUUUAUUGUUGAAUUUGUGCUGAAUAAAUUCCAUACAUGUGUGUGCAAUGUUCCAGACAGAUAGUGAUAAAACUCAUCUGCUCCGACAUGUUUUUAAACCAAGCAGGGGGCUUAAAACCAAUUAAACUGAGCAGGGGGUGGUUGGUUUGGGAUCAUUGAAAAGAGAGUUUAUUUAAGGUAAUAUUGUCAUUUGAUUGCAGCAGUUCUACCCAUUGGGGAAAGCGCCAGAGGUUCAAUGAAUGUGGCAAACAGGGAUGGAGAGAGUUGACAUCCUCGCCUGGUACCUCUCAAGUGUGAAGCAUGGUGAUGUUAGUCAGUUAGUUGUGACUGUGGCCAUUGGUAUUCUGGAUUUUCUUUUGUGUUUUGGAUCAUUGUCUAGCUGACCAUGACAUCCGAGAAGUUCCACUUUUGAAUCCUCUGUCCAUAGAACACUAUCCAAAAACCUUGCAGAUCA